rnacentral:rRNA from 1 species
UACGGGGGGGGCAAGCGUUGUUCGGAAUUACUGGGCGUAAAGGGCUCGUAGGUGGCCAACUAAGUCAGACGUGAAAUCCCUCGGCUUAACCGGGGAACUGCGUCUGAUACUGGAUGGCUUGAGUUCGGGAGAGGGAUGCGGAAUUCCAGGUGUAGCGGUGAAAUGCGUAGAUAUCUGGAGGAACACCGGUGGCGAAGGCGGCAUCCUGGACCGACACUGACGCUGAGGCACGAAAGCGUGGGGAGCAAACAGG